AUGGAGUGGGAACUGAGCUUAAUUUUCAUUUUUGCUCUUUUAAAAGAUGUCCAGUGUGAAGUGCAGCUGUUGGAGACUGGAGGAGGCUUGGUGCAACCUGGGGGGUCACGGGGACUCUCUUGUGAAGGCUCAGGGUUCACUUUUAGUGGCUUCUGGAUGAGCUGGGUUCGACAGACACCUGGGAAGACCCUGGAGUGGAUUGGAGACAUUAAUUCUGAUGGCAGUGCAAUAAACUACGCACCAUCCAUAAAGGAUCGAUUCACUAUCUUCAGAGACAAUGACAAGAGCACCCUGUACCUGCAGAUGAGCAAUGUGCGAUCGGAGGACACAGCCACGUAUUUCUGUAUGAGAUA